UACGAAGGGGGCUAGCGUUGCUCGGAAUGACUGGGCGUAAAGGGCGCGUAGGCGGAGUGCUUUGUCGGGCGUGAAAUUCCAGGGCUCAACCUUGGGGCUGCGUUCGAGACGGGCAUUCUAGAGUGGAGAAGAGGGUCGUGGAAUUCCCAGUGUAGAGGUGAAAUUCGUAGAUAUUCGGAGGAACACCAGAAGCGAAGGCGGCCAGCUGGCCCGAUACUGACGCUGAGGCGCGAAAGCGUGGGGAGCGAACAGG
rnacentral:rRNA from 1 species